AGAGACAAGUUGUCAAAUAACGUGUGUGUACCAUCGGCUGGUAGUAUGCCAUGCUGUCUAAAGGCCCGUUUACACCGCAUCCGGCACGGCGACCGUGCACGGCACCACGGCAAUCCGGCACGGCAAAACAAAUCGAUCCCCACUAAAUUCUAUGAAACUGUUUCCACUUCAACGGUGCCGCGCCGUAUUGUACAACACGGCGUAAUUUGCCGGAUUUGCAGAUCGAUCAGCAAGCCAUUUUCAGAGCACGGCACACGGUUUUUUCACUUCUGGCCAAUCACAGUCCAGAUAAAUUACGUCAUUGCCCACAUAUUUUCUGAUCAAGCGACAAAUCGCCUGCGGUGAUAGUCUAUGGGAGUUUACGUGUUAAAUGCAAAAUCGCACAUACACGUAGGUCUACGUGUAUUACCUGCUGAAGAGAGGUGACUGAAGGAGGACUUGAUCUUGCAAUUCUUGGUCUGAUAACCAACAUGGAGGAAGCCCUUAUCCUAGAAGUGUAGGAAAAUCCAUUCCUGUAUGACAAGAGAUUGGAGAUGUUCAAGGAUACAGAAGUAAAAAAAUGAUGUAUGACAUGACAUUGGGCGUCAGCUUGUAAUCUCAGGUGACGUAGCGAGUUGAGGGACAACUUCCUAAAAAACGACAGAAAUGGAGAGGAAGAGUGGUGACGGAGCUCCCUCAAAUGCAGCACGUAAAUACAAGUACAGUGAGGCAAUGGAAUUCCUACUUCCCCACAUACAUAAUCGAGACAGAACAAGUUCAAUCUUGGAUCCUGUGUUUGAUGUAGACACACCAGGAGAAGCCUGUACCAAGCAGGAAGAAACUGAGCAGGAUAAUGGUGGGUGACAUCUGUCCACAACGUGGGUCAGUCUUCCUCGUCAUCAUCCUCAGGCACGUCCGCAACAUCAGUCCAGUCUUCAAGUCCCAACUUCACUUCAAAUCGAGGACACAAUGUUGCAGUAUUUUCAAAACACUGAUAGUCAUGGUGACAACAUAACUGUAGAUAAAUUUUUCUCCAGCUUGUCCCCCAUUGUCCCACACUGUAAAAGUUACCUCAAUGCCAGCUCCAUUGCUAUGAGGUUAAAUUUCGGUCGUCUGAACAUUGAACAUGACUACUAUAGGAAUUAAAGGUUUUGUGUCAUCUAACUCCAAGUCGAUUCUUAUUGAUGUUAUAAACAUCUCACAAUUUAAGAAUCCAAAUAUGUUUCGUAGAUUAAAAAAAAAGUUAACGGAAAAUGCUCUAACUUGCUAUGCUCCACCGCUAAAAAGAGAGCUGAUCUCUUAUUCCCUCUGACCAUGGAGCUAAUAGCUCUAUGCUCUGACAUCACUCAAUACUCAUCCGAUUGUUAGCUAACAAAGGGACAGUGGUUUGUAGUUUGCCAGAGCUAACAACCUGUUAACAGUCUCAACAUAAAAGAUGCAAUGUCAGACAUGCAGCAUCACCAACAAAUUAAAAGCGGUGUAUAUAUGAUUAGUUGAUUACAUCUGAAUAACGUAUGAUAAAUCCAUAUGAAAUAAAUCAUUUGCAGGAAAUCUACAACUUUAAUGACUGAUAUCGUAUUAUAAACAAUGACACCAUUAAAUGUGUUAUUCUAAUUUCCACUUGAAUUUUUCACUUUGACAUCUCCAUAGGCGGCGGAAGCGGGGACAGGUCCCCCCUAAAUUUGAGGUUGGGGACGGUCCCCCCCCCUAAAUUUUUAGUUGAUAACCUUUUUUUUUAUUUUUUGGCUUGCACCGCCAAUGUACAUCUCCCAUUGUUACAGUUGCAAGUCAGUCUCAAUUUGCAGAAAUUACGAUUGUGAAGGAUUAUGAUCUUCCUCUUUUGUAGAUCUGGAAAAUAUCGUCUGAGCAUGUUCACCAUUUAUUAAAAAUAUAUUUAUUUCUUAAAUUAUACUUGAAUUUAAAAUCAGGAUUUGUUCACAGAUAAGAGAAGUUGAGCAUUUUGCACAUCACAGAAAUUUGGUUCAUGCAAAUACAUAUACAUGAUCACUAGUAAUGCACUAUCAAAUAUCAACACAUGAAACCAGUUACUGUGAAAAUAAAAAUGAUGGGUACUGGACGGAACGUUUCUGGACUAAUGUUUUAUUUUGGAAACAGAGAUCUAGGAUUGUUUGAAAUAUGACAAAAUGUUAGAAACAAAAUUUCAUCUCUAAACAGAAUGGCAAUGACACUCCUGUGGCCUGUUUCAUAGAGAGGUACAACUAUCAUAACUUUGUCUUUAAUAUGGCGCAAUAUCCAAUUAUAAUUGUGGUUUCCAUGGUAGUUGCCAUAAUGUUAAAGUACUUUUGAAAUGGGCCCCUGGACAUGAAGAAUACUGACAAAAGAAAGUUGAUUGUGAAAUAAAAAGAAUACAUUCAUCUUCAAGAAAUUUUUUGACGCCCCAUGCAUUUUUUGUUGUUUAUAUAUCGUAUUAUUUUUUUCUGUAAUAAAUUAAUGAGCAUUACUUUUUUUUCAACAACAAAUAUAAUGUAGAUUGCUGAAGAACCUAAAAUAUAUUUGGAGCUGAACUAAACUCAAAAUAAAGAUGUCGACAAAAUGAA